rnacentral:tmRNA from 1 species
GGGGGCGAUUCGGAUUCGACGCCGGUAUCAACUCCUGGGGUGCAUGCCGAGAGGGUAGUAACUCUCGCUAAUCAAUUACUGCAACUGAAUAGUUGCCAACGACAGAGAAUACGCUCUAGCCGCCUGAUCGCGGCUAGCGAUUGCCGACGGGAUGCCCGUAAACCGCCGAUUGCAAUCGUCGUAUAGAACGGGAUCGCAGCAAUACGCGCCUGGCGUUGCGCUGUUAAAUCCUUCCAGGCUCGCCCUGCUCGCCCUGCCCGUCGGGUAGAACAAGGGCUAACUCAAUAGACGACGCUAAGCAUGUAGAUCUUCAGGCCGCGAACUGACGGACGGGAGUUCAACUCUCCCCGCCUCCACCA